rnacentral:tRNA from 1 species
GCUGUUGGCUCAGUGGUAAAGUGCUCGUCUCACAUGUGUGAGGCACUGGAUUCGAUUCUCAGCACCA